GACGAACGCUGGCGGCGUGCUUAACACAUGCAAGUCGAACGUGAUUUUUGUGGAAAUUCUUUCGGGAAUGGAAAUGAAAUGAAAGUGGCGAACGGGUGAGUAACACGUGAGCAACCUACCUUACACAGGGGGAUAGCCGUUGGAAACGGCGAUUAAUACCGCAUGAGACCACAGAAUCGCAUGAUAUAGGGGUCAAAGAUUUAUCGGUGUAAGAAGGGCUCGCGUCUGAUUAGCUAGUUGGAAGGGUAAAGGCCUACCAAGGCGACGAUCAGUAGCCGGUCUGAGAGGAUGAACGGCCACAUUGGAACUGAGACACGGUCCAAACUCCUACGGGAGGCAGCAGUGGGGAAUAUUGCACAAUGGGGGGAACCCUGAUGCAGCGACGCCGCGUGAGCGAAGAAGGUUUUCGAAUCGUAAAGCUCUGUCCUAU
rnacentral:rRNA from 1 species